rnacentral:rRNA from 1 species
UACGUAGGGGGCAAGCGUUGUCCGGAUUCACUGGGCGUAAAGCGCGUGUAGGCGGCGCGUCAAGUCGGGUGUGAAAGCCCGGGGCUCAACCCCGGGAUGCCGCUCGAAACUGGCGGGCUUGAGGACGGAAGAGGGAGUGGAAUCCUGGUGGUAGCGGUGAAAUGCGUAGAGAUCAGGAGGAACACCCGUGGCGAAGGCGG